GAUUGUUGAGGUGAGAAAAGGCUCCUCAUGCGCUAGUAUUAAUGUAGUAAACAGAGAUGCAGGAUAAUGUCGACCUGCCGAUAAUC
rnacentral:ncRNA from 21 species